rnacentral:rRNA from 1 species
AUGCAAGUCCAACUUUCACAACAACCUGAUAAACUGCGCUGGAAUCUCACUAGGUCGGGUGAAUUCACAGUUAAAUCAAUGUAUGUUGAUGUUAUUAAUUCGAGCUCGAUUCCUUCUUCCAAGCAUGUGUGGGAUGUCAAAGUUCCUUUAAAGAUCAAGGUGUUUAUGUGGUUUCUACACAAACAAGUUAUCUUAACAAAGGACAAUUUAACAAAGCGCAAUUGGACAGGACCUACUAGGUGUAGUUUCUGUGAUCAGGGUGAAACCAUUAAUCAUUUAUUCUUUGAUUGCCCACUAGCUAGAAUUCUUUGGACAACUGUUCAUGUUGCUUUCAAUAUUCAUCCACCAAGCUCGGUUAACAUGUUGUUUGGAACAUGGCUCAACAGGGUAGAGCCCGGGUUAGCAAAACAUAUUCGCUUGGGGGUGUGCGCCUUAGUAUGGGCGCUUUGGAAUUGCAGAAAUGAUCUUGUCUUUAACAGAACAACAAACAUUCAUGUUUUGCAGGUUAUCUUCAGAGCUACGGCACUUAUCCGUUCCUGGUCGCUACUCACUCCGACGGAGGCCAGGGAGCUUUUGGUUACUGGUGCUAUCCGAUGGGAGACGGUAGCUCGGGAUAUCUUCAGCCAGUUUGGAUGGCGGUCAUGUAAUAGGAUAGGCAAUUAG